rnacentral:rRNA from 1 species
GUGGCGAACGGGUGAGUAACACGUGGGCAAUCUGCCCUUCACUCUGGGACAAGCCCUGGAAACGGGGUCUAAUACCGGAUAACACCGGCCUCUGCAUGGGGGCUGGUUAAAAGCUCCGGCGGUGAAGGAUGAGCCCGCGGCCUAUCAGCUUGUUGGUGGGGUAAUGGCCUACCAAGGCGACGACGGGUAGCCGGCCUGAGAGGGCGACCGGCCACACUGGGACUGAGACACGGCCCAGACUCCUACGGGAGGCAGCAGUGGGGAAUAUUGCACAAUGGGCGAAAGCCUGAUGCAGCGACGCCGCGUGAGGGAUGACGGCCUUCGGGUUGUAAACCUCUUUCAGCAGGGAAGAAGCGAAAGUGACGGUACCUGCAGAAGAAGCGCCGGCUAACUACGUGCCAGCAGCCGCGGUAAUACGUAGGGCGCAAGCGUUGUCCGGAAUUAUUGGGCGUAAAGAGCUCGUAGGCGGCUUGUCACGUCGGGUGUGAAAGCCCGGGGCUUAACCCCGGGUCUGCAUCCGAUACGGGCAGGCUAGAGUGUGGUAGGGGAGAUCGGAAUUCCUGGUGUAGCGGUGAAAUGCGCAGAUAUCAGGAGGAACACCGGUGGCGAAGGCGGAUCUCUGGGCCAUUACUGACGCUGAGGAGCGAAAGCGUGGGGAGCGAACAGGAUUAGAUACCCUGGUAGUCCACGCCGUAAACGUUGGGAACUAGGUGUUGGCGACAUUCCACGUCGUCGGUGCCGCAGCUAACGCA